ensembl:lncRNA
UUUCAAUGUCAUGAAAAAGUAAAAAGUAAAGUAAAGUCAGUGGUUGGAUAAAGUUUAAUCCAAUGCACCGAGCUGAGAAACUAAUUUCACUGGGUUACAGUAAAUCACAAUUGGGAAGGUGCUCUACUAAUCCAGUAGACUGAUUACUUUUGAACAUUAAGUGAGUUUAUUUUCUUGCAGGAUAUAGGAGGACUCAGUGACACAACAACAGUUACACUAACGAUUGAAGAUUUUGACAACCUAAACCCUUAUUUUGAUCACUGUCUCUACAAGGCAUCCAUUGAGGAAAAUCAGGUAGGACUCUUCUCGGACAUCACUCCCGAGCCCAUAAAAGCUCAAGAUGGUGACACGGGCAUCAACGAGCCUGUAGUUUACAGCAUAACAUCAGUCAUUCCAAAUGAAUAUCAGAACAGCUUUGAUAUCGACCGAAACAGUGGGGUCAUCUCUGUGACGACGGCACUAGACAGAGAGCAAACAGGGCAGAUUGCUGUUUUCAUACAGGCAGCUCAGCAGGAUGACGCCAGUAAGACUUUUAAUCGUGAUAACUGAUUUCUGGCUGAUUUGUUUCUUCAAGCAAGUUAGCAUUUUGAAAUAAAAUAUCUGGAUUAAGUUGUCUGAGAUUACUU